rnacentral:tRNA from 1 species
GGGCUGGGUCUCAGUGGUAGAGUGCUUGCCUAACAUGUGAGAGGCACUGGGUUCAAUUCUCAGCACCACA